rnacentral:lncRNA from 1 species
UGUAUAUUCCCUCUGACAGGAGGCCAAGGUCAUCUACUUCUCAUCCCGCAAAUAGCACAUUAACAUCUUCACAUUUCUCCCUACUUGUUCCUGGGUUAUCAAAUGUACCAUUCUUUAGUGCUCAGUCACAAAGUUUACUGUGAGUAAGCUGAGAGUUCUCAGUUUACCUGUGUGUGUGAGUUGCUGUUGAAAAAGAUUUCAGAUUAAGAUUUCCUUUGUGCCUGUUUUUAGAAGUAUUUAUUUGGUCUGAGUCAUAUUCCAUUUUUGGUGUGUUUAUAGGCAAACUUCUUACACUUGUCUCU